rnacentral:rRNA from 1 species
UAUCAGUAAGCGGAGGAAAAGAAACUAACAAGGAUUCCCCUAGUAACUGCGAGUGAAGCGGGAAAAGCUCAAAUUUAAAAUCUGGCAGUCUUUGAUUGUCCGAGUUGUAAUUUAGAGAAGCGCUGCCCUGCGCUGGACUGUGUAUAAGUCUCCUGGAAUGGAGCGUCAUAGAGGGUGAGAAUCCCGUAUAUGACACAGUUGCCAGGGCUUAGUGGUACGCUCUCCAAGAGUCGAGUUGUUUGGGAAUGCAGCUCAAAAUGGGUGGUAAAUUCCAUCUAAAGCUAAAUAUAGGCGAGAAACCGAUAGCGAACAAGUACCGUGAGGGAAAGAUGAAAAGAACUUUGGAAAGAGAGUUAAACAGUACGUGAAAUUGUUGAAAGGGAAACGCUUAAAGUCAGUCGCAUUGCUGGAAAUCACACUUGCCUUGGCUUGUGGCUCUUUCUUAGCAAUGGGUCAGCAUCAGUUUUGAUUGUUGGAUAAGGGUUAGGGGAAUGUGGCAUCUCUGGAUGUGUUAUAGCCUCUAAUUGCAUACAAUGAUUGAGACUGAGGAACUCAGUACUUGUGCUUAGGAUGCUGGCAUAAUGGCUUUAAUCGACCCGUCUUGAAACACGGACCAAGGAGUCUAACAUGCCUGCAAGUGUUUGGGUGGAAAACUCAAGCGCGUAAUGAAAGUGAAAAUUGAGACCUCUGUCAUGGAGGGCAUCGAUGCCCGGACCUGAACUUCUGUGACGGUUCUGCGGUAGAGCAUGUAUGUUGGGNACCCGAAAGAUGGUGAACUAUGCCUGAAUAGGGUGAAGCCAGAGGAAACUCUGGUGGAAGCUCGUAGCGAUUCUGACGUGCAAAUCGAUCGUCGAAUUUGGGUAUAGGGGCGAAAGACUAAUCGAACC